AAACUGAAUAAAUUCUCUUCUCUUGAAGUCAAAAAACCUUCUCAGGCACUACAAAUGACAGAAAUUUCAUCUUAUUCACCAGAAAGCCUUUCCAGAGCAGUCAGUGACUCACAGAUUCAAUGUCAGUCUUAGAAGCCUUCCAACCUGAGGAGAAUAUGAAAUGAUGAAGUAUCCUUUGCUGCACAUCUGCUUGAAGUACAGCAUAAUGCUGUUUGAGCAUUCUUGAUUUCAGGAAUACAGAUACCAGUCUCAAGUCACUGAACAUCUCUGUUGUGGCAAGACAGGACUGUCUCUUCUCUGUGGAGAUUUUUUUGGAGUUUGUUUUGUUUUGUUGUUUUUUGGGUUUUUUUUUUCCCGUCUUCAAGUAUAGAUAGCCAAAGGAGGAAGUAACUGACUGAUUGAUUAUUUGUGACUACUGAAGGAAGGCCCCUUUAAAGAAAUGUCUUUGAGCUUAAGCAGGCAAAGUCAUCACUUGAUAGCCUGUUGAUUUGCAGUAGGAAAUUACUUAAAUAGAUACUCUUCCUGGAAAAGUCCUGUCUGCCACUCUGCAGCAGCUCAGAUGGAGCAGUGUGCUUUGCUUCCUCAUCACUUACAUUGUGUGGUGUUCCCUUAGGAGUGCGAAGAACAGGCAAGAGACCAACAGAGAAAUUUUUAAAGGCAAUAUAAUAUCUCAGCCACUGAUUACAGCAGGAUUUCAACCCAGAUGGAAAUGUGCUCCAUUAGUUUGGACAAGCCAUUGCACCCAUUGGCACCUCACAGCCUUAUUUGAUUGAGGACACAAGUUUCAUGAUUCACUUAAUCUGAGACUGUACUGCUGCCAAAGGGACAUUCCUCCCCCUCUUACAUCAGACCAGGCACCCACAUGACCAUGCAAUAAACUGAUCCAUCAGAAAAAAAACCAGCCCUGGCAGGGGGAAAAGAGGAAGAGAUUACUUUUUGAAGCCAGAAGGUUAAGCAAGAAGCCAAGCCAGAAGGUUGCUGAGGCUUAUGAAAUGGGUGGACUGGCAAUGAACAGCUAGGGGGAUGGAGAGGUGAGACAGCCACCUCUGAGGCAGUGGGAUUCAGCAGCAUUCUGAUAUUUUCUAAGAUACCUCCUGGCUUCUCAAGAGUUGCAGUGGUGGAAGUUGGGUUUGAAUUUCCACAAAAGUAUACAUUUGGCUCCAAAGUACCCUGAUAUUGGCAUUGUGAAAAGAUUUUGUGCUGAAAUCAGUGUUGGACUACCUAAGGGACCUCUCAAUGGCCAUGCAAAAUGUUUUUAAGCCUAGAAUAAGUGAUGUAGCUACCUCUGUUCUCUUGGAGAAGCUGGAACUCAAUCGUCUAAUCGUCGUUUUUAAGAAAAAAUCCUCUGAAAAAUAAAAAUG